rnacentral:lncRNA from 1 species
UUCCUAUGCGCAAGGAACCCCCAUUCUAUCGCUAAUAUACAUAUCCACUAACCUUACAACAUUGUUCUUUAGCAAUUUAAGAUAAAUUUAUCCAAGAUAUUUGCCAAGAUAUCCCUCAUCAUAUUGCACAUUUGCCCAAGAUAUUCCUGAUGGUAUUGCACAUUUGCCCAAGAUAUCCACCAAGAAAACGCACAUUUGCCCAAGAUAUCCCUCAUAGUAUUGCACAUUUGCCCAAGAUAUCCACCAAGAAAAUGCACAUUUGCCCAAGAUAUCCCUCAUAGUAUUGCACAUUUGCCCAAGAUAUCCACCAUAAUUCUUCAACGAUGUGGUAAGGUGGGGUAAUUUCACAUUUGGUAUUGAAAAAAGGUUUGGGAUCCGAUCCUGAGGGGUCUAGUGCACGCACGCAUUCCACGGAAUUCACGCUUGAUGCCAUAACCUAAGCUAGUUGAGUUUAUCUCACUCGCUCAUGUUGGUCUUAAACUAAACCUAAGAGACCUAAUGCACUUGUAAAUAUUUAAAUGUCAAAUCCUAGCCAGGUACCCCCAAUUACAAGCCACCAUUCUAACAGUCAACAGAAACUUUUAGCAUGCAGUUUAGUAACACUGUAUAUAGUUGUGUAAAACUACUGCACAGUUUUAUAAAACAUAAAUACACUUUUACUCCAAUGGCACUUUAUACUUGCCUUUCAUCAUAACUAAAACAUGUCACAUAGGCAGUGAAUCUUAAUAAAUUUGAAUAUCAAUAAACUGCGAUGUCUAUUUCAAAAGCUUAAGCAAUAUAGUUAAAUGCUAAAUUUAAUAUUGAAAUUUUUCAGGCUAAG